GUCUACAGCUAUACCACCCUGAACACACCCGAUCUCAUCCGAUUUCAGAAGUUAAGCAGGGUCAGGCUUGGCUAGUACUUAGAUGGGAGAAUAUUUAUGCUGAGUGAA
rfam:Cavia porcellus supercont2_189 genomic scaffold, whole genome shotgun sequence.